rnacentral:rRNA from 1 species
UACGUAGGGUGCGAGCGUUAAUCGGAAUUACUGGGCGUAAAGGGCGCGUAGGCGGCCACCGCAAGUCGACUGUGAAAUCUCCGGGCUUAACCCGGAAAGGUCAGCCGAUACUGCGGGGCUAGAGUGCAGAAGGGGCAACUGGAAUUCUCGGUGUAGCGGUGAAAUGCGUAGAUAUCGAGAGGAACACCUGCGGCGAAGGCGGGUUGCUGGGCUGACACUGACGCUGAGGCGCGAAAGCUAGGGGAGCGAACGGG